AUUGAACGCUGGCGGCAGGCCUAACACAUGCCAGUCGAGCGGAUGAAGGGAGCUUGCUCCUGGAUUCAGUGGCGGACGGGUGAGUAAUGCCUAGGAAUCUGCCUGGUAGUGGGGGAUAACGUCCGGAAACGGGCGCUAAUACCGCAUACGUCCUGAGGGAGAAAGUGGGGGAUCUUCGGACCUCACGCUAUCAGAUGAGCCUAGGUCGGAUUAGCUAGUUGGUGGGGUAAAGGCCUACCAAGGCGACGAUCCGUAACUGGUCUGAGAGGAUGAUCAGUCACACUGGAACUGAGACACGGUCCAGACUCCUACGGGAGGCAGCAGUGGGGAAUAUUGGACAAUGGGCGAAAGCCUGAUCCAGCCAUGCCGCGUGUGUGAAGAAGGUCUUCGGAUUGUAAAGCACUUUAAGUUGGGAGGAAGGGCAGUAAGUUAAUACCUUGCUGUUUUGACGUUACCAACAGAAUAAGCACCGGCUAACUUCGUG
rnacentral:rRNA from 1 species